GGGGCCUUAGCUCAGUUGGGAGAGCGCCCGCUUUGCAAGCAGGAGGUCGUCGGUUCGAUCCCGACAGGUCACG
rnacentral:tRNA from 1 species